GGUUCUAUAGUGUAGCGGUCAUCACAUCGGAUUCUGAUUCCGGGAACCCCGGUUCGAUUCCGGGUAGGACCU
rnacentral:tRNA from 1 species